rnacentral:lncRNA from 1 species
GCACGGGUAAAACAAAAUGGCGACGGUUCGUCAAAGAUGUUCAGCUGCACAAGGAUAUGUUUGGAUUCGUGACAAGGAAUUGGUUUGGGGCAACAGAUUUCCAGCGAGUCGGAACGGGAAGCUGUCCCAAGCACAGUUGGGGUACGGUGAAGAAGAUGCCUGUGAUGAUACGCGGUUGAACAUUGUUUUCACAUUUAAUGAAGUAAUGGCUAGUGGACCGGGUCACCUGACAGUACCAGUCUACCUACAGGCUCA